AUGACGAGUGAGACCUCGUCGAAACGUCGCCUAGACACCCCAACUUUUACACGGGAAGACACCCGAGGACACCAAAACCUGCAUUCCUGUACCCGUGAAAAUCUACGAAAGCAAAUAUCUCACCUCUACGGGGAGGAAACCUUCCAGCUGACAAGAACCUACGAGAAACUAGAAAUCCGAAGAGCCACCAUCUUAUGUGAUCUCUUGUUCCUACGCAACUGCCGAGACAACAACUUAAUUCCCACAUGCUUCCAACUUAAAUUCCACUCUAAAACCCCAGCUACCGAAAGGAUCCUGAAACGAACUGAACUAUCCCUAAUCAGAAACGAACUACAUAAGAAAAGAUACCUACUAAACCAAACCAACAAAGAUCUGCUCACUCUUCACCUCAAACUCUGUAACAAAAUCCACCCUGCACUCUGGGACAAAUGCAAACAACUAGCCGUCUGGAGAGCUGAAACUGAGACCUCACAUAAGACAGACACACACACCAACAAACUCCACAAACUAGAGAAACGCCAGAAGCCCAGCCACCCUCCACAACAACCCAUGAAACAAACAGUACAUAACAUAUCAGACAGGAUCCUCACCUCAACUGAAACCAAAGUACUCUCCAAAGGUUUCAACUUUGCAGUCGCCCCGAGACGCAUCCCCACGGAAAACAUCAUAUGCGGAGUCGAAGCUAGCCUAACCAAAAUCAACCCAGAUGAAGCCAAUAAAAUCAGACUUGAAGUCACCAACAUCCUCUGCUCCAGCAAACCACCCAGAAGCAAUUUACACAAAGAAGAACAGAAAGCACUCACCAACCUGAGGAAAGACAACAACAUAAUCAUUCUCCCAGCAGACAAAGGUAAUGCCACUGUUGUGAUGAACACAUCGGACUACCAAGCAAAACUAUCAAAUCUACUCCAAGACCCUACCUACCAACCUAUAAAAACAGAUCCCACCACCUAUCUGGAAAAAACCACCAAAUCCAAAAUAAAAGCCUCUCCUAUCAGUGAAGAAAUCCAGCUAAGAAUCAUCCCCAGAGAAAAAUCAUCCAGAUGCCCCAAACUCUACGGCCUCCCCAAGAUACACAAAGAAGGAACACCACUCAGACCAAUAGUCAGCUCCAUAGGCUCACCUCUACAAAAUCUCGCUAAAUUUCUCGCUAAGCAACUUCAGCCCUAUGCAGAAUCCAUCUCUUCACACGUUACAAACUCCUUCCAGUUCAUAGAAACAAUAAAGAAGCAAAACCUACAUCCCAAUGACCUACUUGUGAGCUUCGAUGUUGUAUCUCUCUUCACACAAGUGCCCAUUAAUGAAGCCUUGACAGCCAUUCAAAACAAAUACAAUCCCCCCGAAUACAUCCUGGACCUGACCAACCACUGCCUAACCAACACGUACUUCAUCCACAAUGGACAAAGAUACAAACAGAUAGAAGGAGCACCUAUGGGAUCACCACUCUCACCGGUCAUCGCAAACCUGUACAUGGAACACUUUGAAACCAAUGCUUUAGACAAGUCAGAACACAAACCCAAACUUUGGCUCAGAUAUGUUGACGACACCUUUGUAAUUUGGCCACACGGGAAGGAAAAACUAGAUAGCUUCCUCACACAUCUCAACAGCCUACACCCCAAAAUACAAUUCACUAUGGAAAUAGAAGCCAACAACCAACUUCCCUUCCUUGACGUCCUAAUCUACAAAAAACCUGAUGGCUCCCUAGGACACACUAUCUACCGGAAAAAAACACACACCAACCGCUACUUACAUGCACAAUCACACCACCACCCUGCACAAAUAAACUCCGUAGCCAAGACUCUCAUCUCCAGAACCAAACGCCUGGCUGACAAAGACCACUUGACAACUGAGUUACAGAAUCUCUCCAAUGUGUUAAUCGCCAAUGGAUACCAGCAAAACAGGGUUACGAAGCUAAUGCAAAAAGAAACACCCCCCAAAAACCAAGACACAGAAGAAAACAAUGGCAUGGCCCUCCUUCCUUAUAUCAAGGGCACUACAGAUAAAAUUAGCAAAAUCCUCCAUAAACACAAUAUCAAAACAGCCUUUUGCACCAACCAAAAAAUAGCCAAUAUCCUCAGAAACCCCAAGGAUAAAAUCCAGUUGGAAAACCAAGGGGUCUAUGAAAUACCCUGCAAAGUCUGCCCAGCCACGUACAUUGGACAAACAAACAGACGAAUAAAUGCACGUAUCGCAGAACACAAGAAUGCCGUCAAAAAAGAAGAAAAAACUUCCUCUCUUUUCCAACACAUGAAAGAAACAGGACACGAAAUUAAUUUUGCAGAUUCCAAAUUGCUCUCUAACAUGGAACAUCACCACAAGAGAAUAAUCAUGGAAGCCAUCGAGAUAGAGAAACACCCUCACAACAUGAACAAGCGUGACGACACAUCCCGCCUGCCAGACAUCUGGAAAUUAGCCCUCCCCACAAAAACCGACACCAGAUCCAGAGGCACACAGAACGCCAUCACCAAUCAACCACACCAGACCCAAACCCAGACCCUCUCCACAGAUAAAUUACAGACACCAUCCAGUAGCCAAACCAUGGUGGCACCUCCGGAUGCUGCACCCCCCUGCAAUCCCUACACAGAUCUGGCUGGCACAGGACACAAAACCACAGCUCGCCCCUAUACACGAAGCCAAGCCAGAGCACAACUAAGUGCAGUACAGCCAUCUUCUCAGAAAAACUCUUCACAAAGUUCAAGAGGUCAAGACACGAAGGCUUUAGCAACUAAUCCACACCUAAUGACCCACCUAAGUGGUACUCAGGAUAUCACUCAAGAAAUCACUCAAGAUAUCCCUCAAGUAAUUAAGGAACAAAAGAAGAAAAGGCACACUAGCCUGGGAACUUCCUCUCUGCCCAGAACAUUGGAGGCUAUACACCACACCCCCUCAACAGUAUUUAUAGGAACUCAAACACUGAGAUCCUGCUCUGUUCCAGUAACAAGAAGCCGAAAGCACCAGCCUGAAGAUGACGAGUGA
ensembl:lncRNA